rnacentral:lncRNA from 1 species
GAGGCGGGUUUAGGGUCCUCUGUCCCAGUGGGGCUGCUUUCUCUGCCUCUGUCUUACUUCGUCUUUCUCUCAGUGUCUCCUUCUCUUUCCUCUACCUUCCUCUUCUCUCUCUCUUCUUCUGAGCUCCCUGUGCCCGGAAUAUAAACUUUCUCAGUCUCUACCACCCGCUUCCUGCCUCCCUGUCCUGCUCUUCCCUUUGACGGUUCCAGUCACUCGAGAAUGCUGUCUACACCUCUGUCAGGGCUUCCUUACCCUCUGCACCCUGGCCUCCAUCCCACUGCCUCGUCCUCCCACUGCUGAGGCCCCCACUGGCCUCCUGGCAACAACCCCUCAGCUGUGUAGACCUGGCCCCCUACCUGCCCCUCCACCACCUCUCUAACCUCCAGGAAGGGCCCCUCUGCUGGAACUACCCUUUCCUGCUCUCCUGGUUGGUAAAAUAUACAUAAGGUGACGUCUAUUCCACUUCCUGUCUCUAUGAAUUUGCCUGUUCCAGGGACCUCCUAGAAGCAGGAUCAUACAAUAUUUGUCCUUCUGUGCCUGGCUCAUUUCACUGGGCAUCACGUCCUCAAGGCUCAUCCGUGUUGUAGCAGGUGUCCGAAUUUCCUUCCUUUUCAAGACUGAAUAAUGUUCCAUCGUCUGGCUGGACCACAUUGCGUUUAUCCAUCGUCCAUCGAUGGAGACUUGCGUUGUCCACCUUUUGGCUGCCGUGAAUCACACUGCUGUGAACACAGGUGCACAGGGAUGCUGCAGGGACCCCAGAGAUGGCAGAGGCACGAGAUGGAAGGAGCCCGCAUCCUUGAAUCAUCGUACAUCAACCCAGAGAACCCAUUUUCCACCCAGAUGUGAAAACUCAGGUCUGGAAAGAGACAGUCACGUGAGUGAGCAAGAACGUGGGAGAUUAUUUGUUACAGCACCUGGCAUUACCCUAACCCGGUGGGUCUCAACGGGAGGUCGUUUUGUCUCCCAGGGGACAUUUGGCCAGGUUUGGAGACAUUAUUGACCGUUACAACUGGGGAAGAGGGAGCUACACUGG